UACGUAGGGUGCAAGCGUUGUCCGGAAUUAUUGGGCGUAAAGAGCUCGUAGGUGGCCAACUAAGUCAGACGUGAAAUCCCUCAGCUUAACUGGGGAACUGCGUCUGAUACUGGAUGGCUUGAGUUUGGGAGAGGGAUGCGGAAUUCCAGGUGUAGCGGUGAAAUGCGUAGAUAUCUGGAGGAACACCGGUGGCGAAGGCGGCAUCCUGGACCAACACUGACACUGAGGAGCGAAAGCCAGGGGAGCAAACGGG
rnacentral:rRNA from 1 species